UGCUCGAGCCUUUUACGUACACGCGAGAUUAGUCUGCUCGCAGCCCGAAGCCGGUGAGAGUGUGUGAGCGCUCGUCUUCGGCCGCCGGUCCUCGCAAUCGUCGAAGAGCCCCGGGAAGAUGUCGGUGAUGACUCCGUACCGGGAAACCCGUAGCUAACGGCUGCUACUCAUGCGACCAUUGGAUGUUGUUUUUAAAACUUUUCCUUAGGACGGUUGUUUUUGCGGUGUGGGGAUAAAAAACACCACCCGGAGGGACAGGUGUCACCCACCCUUCUCCCUCCAGUUUUGUGUUUCCUCUCCCUCUCACACUUUUUUUUUUUUUUUGGAAACCGAGUAGGACCUCGGGGAACCAUGCUGUGGACACGCUGGCUCGUGCUGCUGCUCUGCUGGGGGGCCACAGGCAGCGAACAGCAGGCGGAUGAGAGGGGCGCGGUACCGGCUGAGGUCCGGUCGGACUCCCGCAGAGAGCGCUCACCUCCGCCGGUGGAGCCGCUGGAUUUUGGGUUUGUACCCGCGGCGGUUUACGACACCCACGCUUAUUACGAGCCAGGGAGCAUGGGGAUCCUCUUCCACAUGGUCCACGCGUUUCUCUACAUCAUUCAGCCGAACCCCUUUCCCAAAGAUCUCAUUGUCAAAGUCAUUCAGCAAAACAUGGGUGGAAUCAAAAUAGAGGAAUGGAGAAAGCCAGAAAACGUCGUCUUGUUGCUGCAGUGGAUCCAGUACGAGUCCGGAUUUCUCAUAUGUGCAACCUUCGGCAUCGUGUUUGUGGUCCUUAUCCCCGUCAUAGCUAUGUGCUUCUGCAUGUGUCGAUGCUGUGAUAACUGUGGAGGGGAGAUGCAUCAGAGACAGAGGAAAAACGCAGACUGUCACAGAGGUUUCUAUACCGCCUCGCUGAUUGCUACAACCAUCUUCAUCAUUGUGGGAGUUCUCAUUGCUCUCGCCGCAAACCACAACAUCAGCUCACAGGUCAAAAGCACUCGGCGGCUCAUUAACACCAACAUGAGAGACCUGAAGACGUUCGCUAACAACACGCCUGCACAAGUCGAUUACCUGACAGCCCAGUACACCACAGCCAAGAACAAAGUCCUGUCAGACCUCGACAACAUCGGCCCUUUGCUGGGGGGUAGGAUCCACAUUCAGCUGGAGAAAUCAGUGAUUCCUUCGCUGGACACCGCCCUGCGUAUGGCAGGAGCAAAAGUUGAGAGUGCCAUCAAAGCCAUGCGGGAAACCAAAGAGGCCCUGGAGAACGUCAGCUCGUCCUUGGAGGUGCUGCAGGACGGGGUGGGGAAGCUUCAGGCCAGCCUGUCAGGGGAGCGCGCCUCUCUGUCCAACACCCUGUCCGACCCCGCCUGCACGAACGGAGCUGUGUCGCAUACCUGUAACACCAUCCGCUCCACACUGUCCCAGCUGGGAAUCAAUGCUGACUUCUCCAAAAUCCCAGAUGUUAAUCAUGCCUUGGCCAAUGUCAAUACUGUCCUGAAAACAGAUCUCAGCAACAUUGUACAAAAGGGUUACGCAUCCUUUAACGACACACCAAGACUGGUUAAAGAGCAAACAAAAAACAUUGUUGCAGCUCUGCCUCGAGUAAAGGGGAUGCUGGAUAAGAUCGGUGCAGAGAUCACUGGCUUCUCCAAGAUGUUCCCCGUGGAAGCUUCUCUGGCAAAUUUCACCAUUUUCCUAAAUGAAAGACACAAAGCUAUUGAGUCCUAUUACCCCCAAAUCGAUCAGAUGGAUUUUUACAGGUGGAUCGCCUGUGUGGCGGUGCUCUGCAUGGUCGUCUUGGUGCUGGCCUUUAACAUCCUCGGCCUGCUGUGUGGUAACUGUGGCUAUGACAAGCAAGCUAGCCCGACCACCCGCGGCUGCCUGUCGAACACUGGAGGAAACCUGCUGAUGGCUGGUGUUGGCUUCUCGUUUAUCUUUGCCUGGGUGCUGAUGGCCAUCGUUACCACCCUUUUUGUUGUUGGUGGCAACGUGGAAAAGCUGAUAUGUGAACCUCUGGCUAACAGACAGCUGUUUAAGAUCAUUGAUACGCCGUUCCUGGUCCAUCCUGAAAAGAGGAACUUCCUUCCUGGGAUGCUUUUCCAGAAUCCAAAUAUUGAUUUAACUCUAGGCGGCAUGUACAGGGAGUGCUAUGACAACAACGGUCUGUAUCACGCUCUGCAGUUGGAGACCAUGUUCAACAUUAACUCCUUCCUCAACAGAACAGUGUACAACAGGGACCUGGCCAAAGUGUUUGAUAGUGUGCAGGUGGACCUGCAGGGCAUCAUGCUGCUGGAGCAGGCUGGCAGAGACAACCUCAUCAACUUUGCCAACUCUGGAAUUGGACAGAUUGACUAUCAGGCUUAUCUCACUGAGGUAAAUAAAGGAGUCACUCUAAUAGAUCUGCUGUCCUUCUGUAGCGACCUGGAGGGUCAAGCUGACCAGCUGCCACGUGGUGCUCUGGAGAACGCACUUAGAGGCCAUGCCAGCAGCAUUAGAUCCAUUCACAGAGAACAGGUGGUGCCACUGGAGCAAGCAAUGAAAUAUGUCAGAGCACGGAGUACGCUGCACCAGAGUAUCAAACAGCUGCAGAAGACAUCCAACGACCUGCCAGUCAAAGUCACAAAUGUCCUGAGUGCCAUUGAUGCAGCAGAGUACCUCAUCACUCAUAAUGCCUCCCACGUGGUGAAGCAGGAAACAAAGGCGUAUGUGCAGGGCUUGGUGGGAUACUUCAAACAGUACACAGAAUGGGUUAAAAGCUCUCUAACUGCAGAGGUGGCCCAGUGUAAACCCAUCAGCAACAUUGUGGACAGUAUGGAAAUAGUAGGAUGCAGCUUCAUAAUCGACUCAGUGAACACAUUCUGGUUUGGUCUCGGUGGCUGCUGCAUCCUGCUCAUCCCCAGCAUCAUCUUCUCUGUCAAACUGGCCAAGUAUUACAGAAGGAUGGACACAGAGGACGUCUUUGAAGACUCCUCUUACCCAUGGCUUGUUGCACUUUAACAUCGAUAAUUCACGCACUUUCUCAUCUUCUCCCACACACUUACUUGCUUUUUGGAACGGGACUGUUCAGCUUCGAAUCUCUUGAGUUUUUUCACUCUUUCUUCUGAAAUCACAAGCUCGGCAUUUUAGCUCUUAACAUGGACUUUCCCAUCACUGCUCGCGUUUUCUUUCUUUCCGAUGCGAGCGCCGCUCUCUGUGGAUCACUCCAUCCCUGUCACUUUCACAGGAGUCUUCCCCUUUCUCAUCUGCCCCUCCCCUCGUUCUUCUCUUGCAGUAUGGCUAAUACAGGUAAUCACGGUGAACAGGUGUGUGAUAUCCAUGGAAACCUUGCCAUCAGGUACGAGCCGCGUGGAGCUAAAUCUGACUUGCAUGCUGGAGUGUUAAUUGGUGGAGGGAUAUUUGGAGUCCUGUCAGCAUAAAUUUUUAUUUACCACAUAUAAAGAUAUAAAGAAUUCCCUGUGUGUGUGUGUGUGUGCAUUCAGCUCUCCCUAUUGUGACACUCUGACUCGGUUCCCUCGGGCCUCUGCCCCCCCGAGCUACUCAGUCUGGUGACCCACUGGAACUCUCUCCCUGCUGAUGAGUGGACAGGAGAACUGGAACUGAUCUUCCCUUUGUGGAUCACCGGGCUGUUUAGGCUUCCGAUUAAGAUCUUUUAACACUUCCAAGGACAAAAGGGAAGAACAAUCAUGAACUCUGGGAUGAAGGCGUCUUUCAGUAGUCCUUCAGGCCAUUUGACAAAACCACUAAUGCCAGCAAAAUCCUAUGAAGUGUUUUCUCGACCCCUUUACCAUUUUAUUAUGUACACCAACAGCUGCAUAUUUAGCUGCAUAGAGAAUCAAUUUGUACUUACAUGAUCAGUUUUAAAGAAGGCAACACAAGUGUACAGUUUUUACACUUUCAAGUCUUUUGAAAGUUUUAUAUAUUUUUUGUUAAACUUUGUUUUAUAACAUGUAAGUAGGUUUUGUAGUAAUAGCUUUCUUUUUCUCUGUGAAUAUUUGUAAUAUAGCUUACAUAAUUUGCAUCAAACAGGUUGCACUUAGCAGGUGUUUAUUUAAGGAAUGGUUUGACAAUUUGAAAAAAAAAGUAGCUACUCGCUUUCUUUCAGAGGGUUAGAUGAGAAGUUUAUGUGAAAUUCAAGCAGCUGGAAAGCAAAAAGACGAAGAGAAAAACAAGCUAACACUUGUGUUACAUGCACUUCCAAAUUGGCAAAAGUAAAAAAGGGAGGAACCACCGACACAGUUCAGCCAAUAGGGGAAAAAUGCCAUUGCUAGGUAACAGAGUUAUCAUCAGAGUAUGGUCACUGAUGGCCAUGAUGUUACUCACACAGUGUAAAACAUGGAUGUAGCUUCCAGGUAUGAAAAGUGAAGUCAACAAAGAAGCUGCAUUGUUAUUAUGAACCACCAGGGGGCAACAUCUGUGGCUAAAAACACUGUCUCUGCUGAGUUCAUGGGCUCUGUCACUUAUUUUGGGUUAAUACUGACUAACAAGUUAAGUCCAUUUUGUAAAUCUUGGUCAUGUUAUGUUUCAGAAAGAAGGAUUAUCCAGGAUCUGCUCACUGGCUUGCGAUUGGUAAGUUGGUAGCCAGUGAGCGUGCAGUUUCAGUCAGACCCGCCCAUGUGUCAUUUUAAAAUACGAAUAUGGCGACAGAGGCUUCAGGAAGGGAAUUCAGAAAGCAGCAGGUGACAUCACAGUAGUAUGUCCAUCUGUGACCCCCCCCCCCCCACACAAAAAAAAAAAUGGCAAAACAUCGUAUAGAGUAUAAACGAAUUUGUCAAUACACUUCGUGCGGUCAGAGGAUCCACAGUUUUUAAAUAUUUGUAAAACUCGGCAGCUAGAAAGACGAUGGUGGUCAAAUGGUGGAUCUUCUUUUCCAGUAAGUGCAAAACUUGCUUUGCUCAGUCUAAAUACAUCACAUUGUGAAAGUUCAGGAACUCUGCAGCCAAGCAUGUAGUGUACAUGUCAUCCUUCAUAGAAGUGGAUUAGCUGAAAUAAUACACAAACCGAACAGCUGAACAGAUCAGAUUUAUGAAUAAAUGUUGAAACAAGGACAAGUAAUCCAGCUUUGAUUUAGGCUGCAGAAAACUUCAUCAAGUAGCUACUCAUAUAUAUCACCAGGAAACAAAAGCACACACCUCCUGGUGCUUCAGGUGAAACUGACACAGAUCACAUCUCUCAUGGGAAUCUACCAAACAGCUGUGCAGCUGUGUUUUUGACCAAAGAGUUGAAUCAGCUAACAUUCGGUGAGAGUUUGUGUCUUUUCUAAGCAUUUACGUGUCACAGCAGACUUUAGACAUGUUUUGAGCUGUUUCCACACUUUAUGUCCAAAUCUCAGUUAACCUUACAGAGCAGAAGUGCUAAUAUUCUCAGCUAACUCAAAACAAAAGCAAAAAAGGUAUUGAAUUAUUCAUUUAAGCAGCAAAGCGGCAGCUCUGCUCGGCUCAGUACAUCCUUGAAACAUGAAGACUGCACAGUUUAUUACAGUGUUACAAGCUAUUAAAUACACACGUUUGCUUAUUCUAUUGAAUCAGCCUUUAUUUGACUAAAUUUAAUUAAGUCCCUGUUUAUGUUGUUGUUUGUUCAUAAAAAUUGUAUGUAGGCUGUCAACUUGUUUGAUCAGCUUCAAAAGUUUGGUAAGCGCUGUUUUAACAGGAUUUAAGGAGAGAUGACACACAAAAUAUCAUGUUUCACCAGACUGUUAAUGAGGGCCUAUUGCUUGUGUUGUCAAAUAAAAUUCCCAGAAGCCUCUGCAAUAUUAAAGGUCUGAAAAACACAACUGGGCUUGUGGUGAGGAUGCAAAUCUGUAAAUAAAAACUCAAAUCCA